rnacentral:tRNA from 1 species
GCAUCAAUGGGGUAGGGGUAACCUGGGUCGUUGCCAUGGGGAACUUUCGCAUGCCGCCUUUUCGACCCGCCGGGGGUUCAAUUCUCCCUUGAUGCA